rnacentral:rRNA from 1 species
CAGCCUGCCGCGUGUGUGAAGAAGGCCUUCUGGUUGUAAAGCACUUUAGUCAGGGAAGAACACUCCGUGGUUAAUACCCGUGGACGAUGACGUUACCUGCAGAAUAAGCACCGGCUAACUCUGUGCCAGCAGCCGCGGUUAUACAGAGGGUGC